rnacentral:lncRNA from 1 species
GGGUGCUGGGGUUAAAUCCAUCGCUAUUUGGUAAAGCUGAGACCUUCAUCUGUUUGUUCAGAUCACAGGCACCAUCCUGGGGUGGGAACUCUGUCCUUUUGAAGACAGUGCUGAAGACAACACAGGCUCCACCAAUUGAUACUGAGAUGACCGGCUCUGAUGCAGAAACCGAAAUCCAAACAAUCUCUGUCUGCCUCCUGACUAGAUCAGAUUGCUGAUUUAACUCAUUUCUACAGGAAGAGCUCUCAUCUCAAACUGUAUGGGGGUAGAAAAGCUGGAGUUUGCUGUGCUUCCAUUGCCCUGUCACUUCUCUGAAGCUGAUGAAAUGAUGAGACAUUAGAGACCAAAAACAAAAGGAAUG